rnacentral:lncRNA from 1 species
AGCAUGCAACUUGGCUUCACCUGUCAAAGGCGCUUUUUUCGAAGACGCCCGGGAGCUCUUGCUUUUGCUUGAGGGUCUUUGGUGUUGACUGAGAGCGAAUUAAAAGGUUCUCAGCUUUCGCUAAGGAACGCAUUCUGGAGUCUAGAACAGGCGAAGAUGGGACUGGGGUGUCUGGGGACUUAGACGUGAGCGAGCAAGGGAAUCCGGGAUGUUGUAAAAGUUGUUGAGUUCUGGAUUUGAUUCUCAGCUUGGUCGCUGUUGGUGCAUAGAAGAGCUACUAAUUUGUGUACGUCGGAAACUUUGCCGAAUUGGACUACAUUUCUAGAAAUGGAUUCCUGAAUUAAAAGAGAUGCUUCUCUUAAAUAUUUAUGUAAAGUUACUCUCAGAAAGGUUGUAAGUGGAUUCCUCCCACCAAAAGUAUUGUGAAUGAAUAUCUUCUUAAAAUUUACAAUUGUUUUGACCAUUUCCCAGUCCUUAAACCAAUGAUAACAUUUUAUUUUCUUUUUCUUUUUUCUUUUCUUUCUUUCUUUUUUUUUUUUUUUUUUGAGACAGAGUUUUGCUCUAGUUGCCCAGGCUGGAGCAAUGGCACGAUCUUGGCUCACCGCAACCUCCACCUCCCAGGUUCAAGCGAUUCUCCUCCCUCAGCCUUCCCAAGUAGCUGGGACUACAGACAUGCGCCACCAAGCCCAGCUAAUUUUGUAUUUUUAGUAGAUAUGGGGCUUCUCCAUGUGGGUCAGGCUGGUCUUGAACUCCCAACCUCAGGUGAUCCGCCCACCUCAGCCUCCCAAAGUGCUGGGAUUACAGGCGUGAGCCACUGCGCCCGGCCUUUAUUUUCAUAAUAUUUCCAUGUCUUUUAUUUCUCAUAAGCUUACAUAUGCAUUCAAGUAUUUAUUGGUCAUUUUCAAUUUUUCCUUCUAAGAGUCUAUAUUCUUUACCUAUUUCUACACAUUUUUGUAUUCAUCUAUAUGUUGAUUUGUUUUAAAUUUAUUAUCUGUUUGUUGUAUCUGAAAUAUUUUCCCUUAGUUUAUUUGCUACUUAAAUUUGAGGGAGGCAGGGAAGUUUACUGAAACAUACUUUAUAUUUUCUAUAAUUUAUUAACUAUUUACUUCAUAAUUUGUGUUUUGGCUGUCAAGCCUACAGACCAAAAUUAUAAUAACAUCAAUUUGUAAUUUGAUAAGCACUCUGGUAGUCUAUUUUUAAGUUAUACAUGUCGUGAACAUUAUUUGUUUUAAUGUGUGAGGGAUGGAAGUUACUUUAUUUUUCCAGGUGGUUAACUAGUUAACACAGAUUAUUGCUUUUCUGUAAUACUUUUACUGAGAUAUAAUUCAUAUACUCUAAAACUCACCCAUUUAAAGUGUACAAUUCAGUAGAUUCUUUUUUAUUUCUUUGAGACAGAGUUUUGCUCUUGUUGCCCAGGUUGGAGUUCAAUGGCGUGAUCUCAGCUCACUGAGAUUAUUGCUUUUCUGUAAUACUUUUACUGAGAUAUAAUUCAUAUACUCUAAAACUCACCCAUUUAAAGUGUACAAUUCAGUAGAUUCUUUUUUAUUUCUUUGAGACAGAGUUUUGCUCUUGUUGCCCAGGUUGGAGUUCAAUGGCGUGAUCUCAGCUCACUGCAACCUCCGCCUCCUGGGUUCAAGCGACUCUCCUGCCUCAGCCUCCCGAUUAGCUGGGAUUACAGGCACCUGCCAUCACGCCUGGCUAAUUUUUGUAUUUUUUAGUAAAGACAGGGGUUUCACCAUGUUGGCCAUGCUGGUCUUGAACUCCUGACCUCAGGUGAUCUGCCCACCUCAGUCUCCCAAAGUGCUGGGAUUACAGGUGUGAGCCACCGUGCCUGGCCGAAUUCAGUAGUUUCUAGUUUAUUCAAAGAGCUAUGCAACCAUCAUCACAAUCAAUUUUAGAACAUUUUCAUUGCCCAAAAAGACACCAAUACCCACUAGCAAUCAUCAUUUUCAGCCACUCCAUGGGCUACAGGGAUCUUUUCUGUUAUUGCACUUGUUCUAUAUUCAUAUUUCAUGUAAUAAACAUGCAUUGCUUUUGUAAUUACAAAGU